rnacentral:lncRNA from 1 species
AUAUCGAUAAGUCAUAUAGACGAAGAUAGACAAGCCAAAGAUAGUAAGGUACCUGCUAGCCGACAAGGCUACAAUGAAGAUAUACACACAUACAUACAUAUCUAUACAUGCCAAGCCUAUGUGGCUAGAAACUAGAAGCUGCAGAAAGAAACCCAGAAUACUGUGUCCAUAAUAGCCUCCAUGAGUGACAUAAGCACUGGUCGGGACAAGGCCCCGAUUA